UACGUAGGGGGCAAGCGUUGUCCGGAUUUAUUGGGCGUAAAGAGCGUGUAGGCGGCCGUACAGGUCAGCUGUGAAAACUCGAGGCUCAACCUCGAGACGUCGGUUGAAACCGUACGGCUAGAGUCCGGAAGAGGAGAGUGGAAUUCCCGGUGUAGCGGUGAAAUGCGCAGAUAUCGGGAAGAACACCCGUGGCGAAAGCGGCUCACUGGACCACAACUGACGCUGAGGCGCGAAAAGCUAGGGGGAGCAAACAGG
rnacentral:rRNA from 1 species